ensembl:lncRNA novel transcript
AUCGAGUUAGUGCUAGCAUAGAAUCUAACAAGAAAUGGCCCUGCAUCCAUUCUCUUUUCUUCUAAUAACAGCCCCAGAUUUCCAUUUUUGGACCUACCUUUUCCUUUUUAUCAGGCUAAGUGUUCAUGGUGGGGCUCUGUCCUUAGUUCCAGGGAUAAAGCCUGUGACCCAAACUUAAACCGCAGAUCAUUUUCCCCAGGCCAUGGAGAUUGUUUCAAAUGUGGGCACAUGGCCUGAAUGGGUCAUAUCAGAGUAAAUCUUAGGGCUUCUGGGUUAUGCCACCAUCACAGGCUCUUGCUUUCCUCACUGAACUUGAACCUAGACGGAUGUAAGCUGGAGCUGUGGCAGCCAUCAUUGCCCUGUGAAAAGUCCACUUGGAGCUGCCAAAGACCACCCCAGGAGCUUCAGAAUGAAGACAACCUGGAAGUCAGAGCUGACAGAAAUAAGGUGAAGUUAGCUUGAGGAAAGAGCUGUAAGGAAGAGUGAAGUCAGCUGAGUCAAGGACACAAGCGGAAAAUGUGCAAAGAUGAGCCAGAAGCAUGGAAAAGUACCUCCAAGACAGAGGAGAACUGAUCCAAGAGAAAGGAGAUGGGAGUGGGCAUCACGUACAGCCAGAGGGCGCCACCUGCCGGUAAGAGCUGAAUAGUGAACUUCGUGUUUCUUGGGAUAAAACAUUGUAUAAUACACAGUACUGGGAAGAAAAUCAUAUACGCACUAAUGUGCCUCUACGUUAUACCGCCGUCAUUCCCCUAAUUUAUCACCCCCUUAUGAGUAAAUUCGGGUUACAAAAACUUGUGUAACAUAACAUUGUAUAUAUUCUUUGCAAUGUAUGCAAAUACACACAAAUAUGUAAAUAUAUGUUUAUUUGUUUGUAUACGCGUAGGAUAGUUUCAGAUGGAAACACCCAAAGUAGCAACACUGACUGCCUCUAGGGGGGGAAACCGAGCAUCUAGAAGGUGAGGUGUGUGUGGGUGUACUUUUGAGGUGUUGCCCACCUGUAUGUUUUGAAUAUUCUCUAAUCAAAAAAAAAAUUUAAAUAGAAUCAUUAAAAUUUUUUAAAACUGAAGACUUCCCCUGGAUCCUUUCCAUCAUCUUUAACUAGAACCAUUCUGGCUUUAUGACUAAACCUAUCUGCUUUGGUCAUUUACUUCUUUAAAACGAGACAACCAUGUGACAUCCUAGGAUCCAUCGAAUGACCUGGUUCACAAGAGAAGCCAGAGUGCAGUCAGGACAAGGCAAACAGCCCUUUACUGGAAGAAUUGGGCAAUCUAUCUGGUGAGAGGUAAGUUUAAAUAGGGCAGUGACACUGCACAACAAAGUCCCAUUUUUUGGACUUUAUGGGGGUUGAAAACCCUGCCUGACAGACUCAGAGUCCUUAACCAGACUGCCCCAGCGGGGAGAAGGGUACCAGGAGGGUUUCCACGAGGGCAGAGGCAGCAGGUGUCUGACUACCUACUCCAUUUGCAAGGACGAAUGGAAAGCCAGGGCUCACCACACAGGUGAACAGUAGAAGACUGCAUGAGCCGAUGGAAAAACAGACCCUAAGAGCAGCA